CGGGGGUGCUAUACAUGCAAGUCGAGCGAACUGAUUAGAAGCUUGCUUCUAUGACGUUAGCGGCGGACGGGUGAGUAACACGUGGGCAACCUGCCUGUAAGACUGGGAUAACUUCGGGAAACCGAAGCUAAUACCGGAUAGGAUCUUCUCCUUCAUGGGAGAUGAUUGAAAGAUGGUUUCGGCUAUCACUUACAGAUGGGCCCGCGGUGCAUUAGCUAGUUGGUGAGGUAACGGCUCACCAAGGCAACGAUGCAUAGCCGACCUGAGAGGGUGAUCGGCCACACUGGGACUGAGACACGGCCCAGACUCCUACGGGAGGCAGCAGUAGGGAAUCUUCCGCAAUGGACGAAAGUCUGACGGAGCAACGCCGCGUGAGUGAUGAAGGCUUUCGGGUCGUAAAACUCUGUUGUUAGGGAAGAACAAGUACGAGAGUAACUGCUCGUACCUUGACGGUACCUAACCAGAAAGCCACGGCUAACUACGUGCCAGCAGCCGCGGUAAUACGUAGGUGGCAAGCGUUAUCCGGAAUUAUUGGGCGUAAAGCGCGCGCAGGCGGUUUCUUAAGUCUGAUGUGAAAGCCCACGGCUCAACCGUGGAGGGUCAUUGGAAACUGGGGAACUUGAGUGCAGAAGAGAAAAGCGGAAUUCCACGUGUAGCGGUGAAAUGCGUAGAGAUGUGGAGGAACACCAGUGGCGAAGGCGGCUUUUUGGUCUGUAACUGACGCUGAGGCGCGAAAGCGGGAAACC
rnacentral:rRNA from 2 species